UUUUCUUUAGCGGACUUGGGGAAUGUUAUUAACGCGCAGGCCGGAGGCUGGCCCCCCACGAUAGGGACCGACCGUUCCAUCAGGGGUGAGCAGACGUGCGCCGGCCGUACGCCCCCUUUCUUGUCUACCUCAUCCGGUUGCCUCGGCGGGUCGCGCUCCCCCUGCCAGGCAGAGCCCUCCGGCGGGCCCCUUCUGGGAGCCUCGAGCCGGACCGCGCCCGCCGGAGGACAGACCCCAAGAAAAAAUUCUCUGAAGAGCUGUCUGUCUGAGCGUUUAGCAUGCACAAUCAGUUAAAACUUUCAACAACGGAUCUCUUGGUUCCGGUCAUCGAUGAAUAACGCAGCGAAAUGCGAUAAGUAAUGCGAAUUGCAGAAUUCCGUGUAUCAUCAAAUCUUUGAACGCACAUUGCGCCCUCUGGCAUUCCGGGGGGCAUGCCUGUUCGAGCGUCAUUUCAACCCCUCAAGUCGGGUUUGUGUGAUGGACGACCGUCCGGUCUCUCCCUUCGGGGGCGGGACGCGCCCGAAAAGCAGUGGCCCACGUCUCGAUUCCGGUUUCCUAGGUAAAUGGCCUCCCAAUUCAGCGCCCUCCGGACCGGACGCCC
rnacentral:rRNA from 1 species